rnacentral:rRNA from 1 species
GAUGAACGCUGACAGAAUGCUUAACACAUGCAAGUCAAGGUGGGGACGGGUGAGUAACACGUGGGUAACCUCCCAUCAGAGGGGAUAACACUUGGAAACAGGUGCUAAACCGAUACUGAUGGAUGGACCCGCGGUGCAUUAGCUAGUUGGUGAGGUAACGGCUCACCAAGGCCACGAUGCAUAGCCGACCUGAGAGGGUGAUCGGCAACACUGGGACUGAGACACGGCCCAGACUCCUACGGGAGGCAGCAGUAGGGAAUCUUCGGCAAUGGACGAAAGUCUGACCGAGCAACGCCGCGUGAGUGAAGAAGGUUUUCGGAUCGUAAAACUCUGUUGUUAGAGAAGCGGUAUCUAACCAGAAAGCCACGGCUAACUACGUGCCAGCAGCCGCGGUAAUAC